CCUACGGGAGGCAGCAGUGGGGAAUUUUGGACAAUGGGCGCAAGCCUGAUCCAGCAAUGCCGCGUGAGUGAAGAAGGCCUUCGGGUUGUAAAGCUCUUUUGUCAGGGAAGAAACGGUGGGGGCUAAUAUCUCUUACUAAUGACGGUACCUGAAGAAUAAGCACCGGCUAACUACGUGCCAGCAGCCGCGGUAAUACGUAGGGUGCAAGCGUUAAUCGGAAUUACUGGGCGUAAAGCGUGCGCAGGCGGUUUUGUAAGUUUGUCGUGAAAUCCCCGGGCUCAACCUGGGAAUGGCGAUGAAGACUGCAAGGCUAGAAUCUGGCAGAGGGGGGUAGAAUUCCACGUGUAGCAGUGAAAUGCGUAGAGAUGUGGAGGAACACCGAUGGCGAAGGCAGCCCCCUGGGUCAAGAUUGACGCUCAUGCACGAAAGCGUGGGGAGCAAACAGGAUUAGAUACCCUGGUAGUCCACGCCCUAAACGAUGUCUACUAGUUGUCGGGUUUUAAUUAACUUGGUAACGCAGCCAACGCGUGAAGUAGACCGCCUGGGGAGUACGGUCGCAAGAAUUAAAACUCAAAUUGUAGUUAGUUAGNGNGNGAGNGCGAGACGACACGAGGAGAGG
rnacentral:rRNA from 1 species